rnacentral:rRNA from 1 species
UACGUAGGGUGCGAGCGUUGUCCGGAAUUACUGGGCGUAAAGAGCUCGUAGGUGGUUUGUCGCGUUGUCCGUGAAAACUCACAACUCAAUUGUGGGCGUGCGGGCGAUACGGGCAGACUGGAGUACUGCAGGGGAGACUGGAAUUCCUGGUGUAGCGGUGAAAUGCGCAGAUAUCAGGAGGAACACCGGUGGCGAAGGCGGGACUCUGGGCCGAUACUGACGCUGAGGAGCGAAAGCGUGGGGAGCAAACAGG